GAGGAGGAGCUAGCACAUGUAAAACCUGCCAGCACAGUGCCCAGCACCUUGAGCCAGAUGGCUAUGAACCGCAGCUUGCCAGUAGGAAAAACCAAAGGCAGAAGGCAGGUGAUUCCAGUGUACAUGUAUAGAAUGCUUCGAGGUCAAGAAAAAGCCCGCUGUGUGUCACGAUAGUUUCAUCACUGCCGGAACCAGCACCAUUGUCAAGUUGGUUUAACAUGUAAGAAGCCCAGGCUCGAAGUCAAGUGGCUUGCCAGGGUCCUGUCCAAUUAAUGGCAGACCCUGAACCAGAGCCCAGCUUCUGGGAUCUAGGAUCUUCCCUGGUACACAGGACAAGUUCCUGUCCAGGAAAGUUUCUGGGGCCUGUGUUCUACAAAAGACCAGCAAGGGGGUCUUGGGAAAACAGCAUCUCUACCUUCAGUACCUUUGUUUUUGUGGCUCUGAGCAAACCCCCCCUAACCAUAAAGGAGAGGAUUUCCAGGCCUGGAGAAGCAGGCCUGAAUGUGUUUGCUUUGCUUUUAUAGUUCAGAGAACAAUAAAACAGAUGAAAUUA